rnacentral:rRNA from 1 species
AUACGGAGGGCGCAAGCGUUGCCCGGAAUCACUGGGUGUAAAGGGUGCGUAGGCGGGGCUGUAAGUCAGAGGUGAAAGCCCUCGGCUCAACCGGGGAAUUGCCUCUGAUACUGCAGCUCUUGAGUCCCGGAGAGGCCGCUGGAAUUCCUGGUGUAGCGGUGAAAUGCGUAGAUAUCAGGAGGAACACCGGAGGCGAAGGCGGGCGGCUGGACGGGGACUGACGCUGAGGCCCGAAAGCGUGGGGAGCAAACAGGAUUAGAAACCCUAGUAGUCC